UACAGAGGGGGCAAGCGUUGUUCGGAAUUACUGGGCGUAAAGGGCGCGUAGGCGGCCCGCUAAGUCGAACGUGAAAUCCCCGGGCUCAACCUGGGAACUGCAUUUGUGACUGCAUAGCUAGAGUGCGGCAGAGGGAGAUGGAAUUCCGCGUGUAGCAGUGAAAUGCGUAGAUAUGCGGAGGAACACCGAUGGCGAAGGCAAUCUCCUGGGCCUGCACUGACGCUCAUGCACGAAAGCGUGGGGAGCAAACAGG
rnacentral:rRNA from 1 species